AGCUUGCUUGGUGGAUCAGUGGCGAACGGGUGAGUAACACGUGAGCAACCUGCCCUGGACUCUGGGAUAAGCGCUGGAAACGGCGUCUAAUACUGGAUAUGAGCUCUCAUCGCAUGGUGGGGGUUGGAAAGAUUUUUCGGUCUGGGAUGGGCUCGCGGCCUAUCAGCUUGUUGGUGAGGUAAUGGCUCACCAAGGCGUCGACGGGUAGCCGGCCUGAGAGGGUGACCGGCCACACUGGGACUGAGACACGGCCCAGACUCCUACGGGAGGCAGCAGUGGGGAAUAUUGCACAAUGGGCGGAAGCCUGAUGCAGCAACGCCGCGUGAGGGAUGACGGCCUUCGGGUUGUAAACCUCUUUUAGCAGGGAAGAAGCGUGAGUGACGGUACCUGCAGAAAAAGCGCCGGCUAACUACGUGCCAGCAGCCGCGGUAAUACGUAGGGCGCAAGCGUUAUCCGGAAUUAUUGGGCGUAAAGAGCUCGUAGGCGGUUUGUCGCGUCUGCUGUGAAAUCCCGAGGCUCAACCUCGGGCCUGCAGUGGGUACGGGCAGACUAGAGUGCGGUAGGGGAGAUUGGAAUUCCUGGUGUAGCGGUGGAAUGCGCAGAUAUCAGGAGGAACACCGAUGGCGAAGGCAGAUCUCUGGGCCGUAACUGACGCUGAGGAGCGAAAGGGUGGGGAGCAAACAGGCUUAGAUACCCUGGUAGUCCACCCCGUAAACGUUGGGAACUAGUUGUGGGGACCA
rnacentral:rRNA from 1 species